CUCCUGCAGCCUCUUCUGCUCCACGCGCAGACACCGAGUCAUCAUUAACCCGCAGAGCGAGACCCGCUCGGCUGAUCCGGGAUGGCAGAGCGGUACCGGGCACCGGGGCGGAGCGGCGGCGGACCCGCGGCACACCCGCCAGUGCUGGGCACGAGCUCCGGGCACGAGCUCCGGGCACGCAGCUCUCCCGCUCCCAGGAAUCCCUGACUGAGCGCGGAACAACUACACUGCAGGAUAAGCAGUGAUCAAUGCUGGACAUGAGGCCGGGGCCUGGAGGAGAGAGGGCCCCCGGAGGAACCCGGCGGAGUGGUGGGGCCCCUCGGCGGAGUGGUGGGGCCCCUCGGCGGAGUGGUGGGGCCCGGGGCUGAGGCAGUGAAGCAGGUGGGACCGGUGGACGGCACAUCGCAGACCAGGUCCAGCUGGAACUCACUCCAGGAGGAGCUGGGAUCUGCGCUCACCUGAGGGAAGGAGCUCGUCGCCGGUGGACGUCCGGUUCUUGGGGUCCUGGGAUGGGACCUGGUCCGUCCGGGAUCCGGGGCUCCCAGGAAGCAGCAGCUGCUCUGGACUCUUCAUUGUUUGUGUGUUGAAGGAAACUGAUCAAUAAAGGUUUGCGAACACUG